CAUGCGCUGAAGCCACAGAGAAAAACAGUUUUCCUAGUUGUCUGCGCGAGAGAACCUCCACGAGAUCAACAUGCCCAAGAGAAAGGGAGCAGAAGCCGGAGAAAAGGGGGAGCCGCAGCGGAGAUCGGCUCGGUUAUCAGCGAAGCCUAAUCCAGCUAAGGCGGAACCAAAGGUCAAGAAGGUGGCAAAGAAAGAAAAGGCUGUGAACGACAAGAAGGAGGACAAGAAGACUAAGAAGGCGAAGGAGAACGUCGAGGCCGAGGCGAACGAGGAAAACCACUCUGAGAACGGAGAGGCCAAGACCAACGAGGUGAGGAGGACGAGAACACUCUCAACCACAGCGGGAGUCCGGUAUUAUUCUAGAUUUGAGAUGAACACCAUCAAAAGUUUUGACUCUGGUCCGUGUUGUCUUCGUCCCGCAGGUGGAGGCAGCCCCCGAGGAGGCCAAGGAGGAGGCCAAGUCCGAGUAGCACCACUGCCCAAGCUUCCUCUUCCUCCUCUACAACCCCCCCACCAACCCCAACCCCACCCCCCCCCCCCAGCCAGCCAGCCAGCCCCCGCCCCAAGUCUCUCACAUGGUUUCCCUCCAAGGCGUAUUGUUAACAGAGGAAUAUUUUUAUCAAUGAUUUUAUAAGUAUCCGUACAGAUUUUUAGCACAAAAAGCAAAGCUGAUUAUGGAGCGCCUUGCAGAUUUGCAGUGGUCAUAUCAAGUGUCUGCAAGCAAGAUGAACACACUAAAAUCUUUUUUAAAUGGCAUUUCAUGAUUGUUGAAGGCUUGUUUGGUGUAGAAAUGUGUGUCCCUGCCGGAUUGGCUACGUUGUGAGUUGUGUAUUCCUGUGUUUUUCCGCUGUCCCCUGAUCUUCCCGCCUCCUCCCUUCUUCUUCCUCCACAGAUUAGACCUUCCUCCCCCCUACAGUUCAGCCUUUUAUCCAUGUUUUAUUAACGGUUUAGCUAUGUUAAUGUGGGUGAUUCUUUUAGGCCUCUAAAUGUGCAGUGAGUUCCCUUUGCUUCUGUCUCAUGGUCCCUUUUUUUUUUUUUUUUUUUUCAUUGAAGUUGUGCUUUAAAAAAAAAAAAAAAGCGUGUUGAAGAGUGUAGUCCAUAAGAAAGAGGAAGACGAACAUGCGAAAACAUUCCGGGAACAGCGAUUGCCUCCGACCCGUCUCCUAGACGACCCUGCGUGUAAAACAGCUCCUGCUCCAUCCACGCUGUCAUGUCAGCUUUUCUAAACACUCUGGUUUUUUUUAAAUCGAUUGAAUUUGGAAACCUUCUCUGACAAAUGCAGGUGUCUGGUCCCUCUCUUAUGUUCUGAAAUUCUCUUAAUAAAAAGAAGUCCUGGGAAUUUUCCUCGAACUGGUGUCUCGACUUUGUUUCUUUAAGGGACUUUUUUAUUAUGUGAUCGAAGUUGAAGCUUCAAUACUAUUAGCAAACAGUCAAAUUAUAAACUUUGCUAGCAUGUUUUUAUAAAUCACAGUCCUCUUCAGUCAUGGCUCAGGAUGCAUCUUCAAACCCCAGGCCCUCAUUUUGUCAAUAAAUACAUAAAUGUAUUAACUUGAAGUUUAAAAUUGAAAGCUACUUUGUAGCCUGCAAACAUGUACUCAACCAAGAAUACAUGCAGUCUCCAUUAUUCAC
ensembl:lncRNA